GACGAACCGCCCGAACGUUAUUCGGAAUCAUUGGGCUUAAAGGGUGCGUAGGCGGCGCUGUAAGUCGUGUGUGAAAUCUCUCGGCUUAACCGAGGAACUGCGCAUGAUACUGCAGUGCUUGAGGGAGACAGAGGUAAGCGGAACUGAUGGUGGAGCGGUGAAAUGCGUUGAUAUCAUCAGGAACACCGGUGGCGAAAGCGGCUUACUGGGUCUCUUCUGACGCUGAGGCACGAAAGCUAGGGGAGCAAAC
rnacentral:rRNA from 1 species